rnacentral:rRNA from 1 species
UACGUAGGGGGCAAGCGUUGUCCGGAAUCAUUGGGCGUAAAGCGCGUGUAGGCGGUCCGGUAAGUCGGUUGUGAAAGUCCAGGGCUCAACCCUGGGAUGCCGACCGAUACUGUCGGACUAGAGUUCGGAAGAGGCGAGUGGAAUUCCCGGUGUAGCGGUGAAAUGCGCAGAUAUCGGGAGGAACACCAAUGGCGAAGGCAGCUCGCUGGGACGUUACUGACGCUGAGACGCGAAAGCGUGGGGAACAAACAGG